ACUCGUUUGUAUUAUCAACCGGGACUACAAGUAUCAUUAUAAAUAGUGCUUCGUCCACCCCGAACCCAAGCUCUCUGUUUUCUCCUUUCUCUCCUCUGUUAUCUUCCCUUGCUCGAGUUCAUCCUCAAUUUCUUUCCAGAUUUGUCAAGAAUUGAGGCAUCCCAUCCAUCCAAGUGUUCACAAAGGUGUGGUUUACUUAGUGUCUUCCUGUCCCCGUCCUAACCACCGUCGAUCGCCCGCACCGUCUCGUCACCGGCACUACCUUGAUGAACCGGCAAUGGAUGUACGAUGAUCGACGCUCUCCCCAACUCAUUGAUGGCUUGCAGAGUUUUCUGCGUGCGGCUGAGGCAAACUAGUGGGAUGGUUGUAUGUCUUAUCCAUGUGUUGUCUAUAAGAAUGAUAAAACUUACUCUAAGUCAAGAGUCAUUCAC